GUGUUUGUAGCUUGGCUGUCUGGUCAUUUCAUUCCUGUGACAACCAAAGAGCAAGAUGAAGAGGCGCUUCUCUGUGGAAGAGGCUCGGGAUGAAAUCAUGCGGCCUGCGGAGGUGGGCGGCUGGAGGUCCGAGACUUCCAGCGAGGAGAGAGGGAGAAACAAACAGCCAAUAGCUGUGUCCCAAUUCAGGGUCUGCAUCCUUCGGAGGACCCGGCCUACGCAGGGACGAAGGACGUGUCACCCGUUGUUAAAUGGGACAGUCUAGCCUACGGAGGAUUUCCCGGUUGCGUCACGACGUCAUGACUCCUGCCGCCCAAACCCGGGAAAGACACAAAAACAAAACAGACAACAGAUGACACGGAAACAUAACGGACAGACGACAUAACAGACGACACAAAAACAUAACAGACGACAAUGAUGGAGCCAGAGGUUGUGAUUUUGGUUUUUUUUAAUAUAUUUUUUGUUGGAGAAAGAGGAGAGGCGGCUCUGGCGACACCAGUUUAUCUCUGGCUGGGAGAGAGCCGUGGGGAGUGACAUGGCAGCUGUCGAUUGCGUCAGCCCUGCAAACCCCGUUGAUGGACGAUGUGGUGGACAGUGGAGACAUGCAUUCCCCACCCCCCACAUGAUGUCCCACUCACAGCCAGAAGACUCCAGGGUCUUUAUUGUGGCAUCCCAUCCAG